rnacentral:rRNA from 1 species
CGCAACGGUGAUAGCACGUUGAAUGUACCAGUUCCCAAUCGAUCACUGAAGUUAAGCAACGUUGCCCGUGAUAAGUAUCCGGAUGAGUGACCAUCUGGGCAAUGGCGUGCUGCUGGAU